rnacentral:rRNA from 1 species
AUUGAACGCUGGCGGCAUGCCUUACACAUGCAAGUCGAACGGUAACAGGUCUUCGGAUGCUGACGAGUGGCGAACGGGUGAGUAAUACAUCGGAACGUGCCCGAGAGUGGGGGAUAACGAGGCGAAAGCUUUGCUAAUAUCGCAUACGAUCUCAGGAUGAAAGCAGGGGACCGCAAGGCCUUGCGCUCACGGAGCGGCCGAUGGCAGAUUAGGUAGUUGGUGGGAUAAAAGCUUACCAAGCCGACGAUCUGUAGCUGGUCUGAGAGGACGACCAGCCACACUGGGACUGAGACACGGCCCAGACUCCUACGGUAGGCAGCAGUGGGGAAUUUUGGACAAUGGGCGCAAGCCUGAUCCAGCCAUGCCGCGUGCAGGAUGAAGGCCUUCGGGUUGUAAACUGCUUUUGUACGGAACGAAAAGACUCCUUCUAAUAAAGGGGGUCCAUGACGGUACCGUAAGAAUAAGCACCGGCUAACUACGUGCCAGCCGCCGCGGUAAAAC